UCUUUCUUUUUUUCUUCUUUCUCUCUCUUUCUUUCUCUUUCUCAUCAUGUCGUCCGUUGUGAGAGGAGGGAGGAUGAUGUUGGAU
rnacentral:ribozyme from 13 species